GACGAACGCUGGCGGCGUGCCUAAUACAUGCAAGUUGAGCGCUGAAGGUUGGUACUUGUACCAACUGGAUGAGCAGCGAACGGGUGAGUAACGCGUGGGGAAUCUGCCUUUGAGCGGGGGACAACAUUUGGAAACGAAUGCUAAUACCGCAUAAAAACUUUAAACACAAGUUUUAAGUUUGAAAGAUGCAAUUGCAUCACUCAAAGAUGAUCCCGCGUUGUAUUAGCUAGUUGGUGAGGUAAAGGCUCACCAAGGCGAUGAUACAUAGCCGACCUGAGAGGGUGAUCGGCCACAUUGGGACUGAGACACGGCCCAAACUCCUACGGGAGGCAGCAGUAGGGAAUCUUUGGCAAUGGACGAAAGUCUGACCGAGCAACGCCGCGUGAGUGAAGAAGGUUUUCGGAUCGUAAAACUCUGUUGGUAGAGAAGAACGUUGGUGAGAGUGGAAAGCUCAUCAAGUGACGGUAACUACACAGAAAGGGACGGCUAACUACGUG
rnacentral:rRNA from 1 species